ACUUUUUCGCAUCGGUUACUAUUUUCUAUUAUCAUUUUGGUGGCUGUAUUCCGUACCGGUGACGUUUGACAUUUGAUAGUUCAUCAAAUAGCAGCGGUGUUAUCGCGCUGCAAAAUUUGGUCACCUAUGCGCGUUUAGUAGCGACCGGUAAAGUGUCAAGUAAUGAUACUGGGCUGGCAAACGGCUUAUACUCACCACCGAAAUGAAGCUUAUGAUGAAAUACUGAUGCUUGGCCAAUCUCACCCACGAGAUAUAAUAAGAACUGAUGCAGGUUUAUAACUACAUGUAUUGUAUCCGGAACAAAGUUAGUACGUCUUUUAUACCGAAGUUGGAUUUUUCUCCAGAUACAGGCAACUUACCCAACUUCGAAAGUAGUGCGCUGGAUUCGCCUAAAGAUGCGCUAAACAACGCAUCAAUUAGUUUGACAGAUAAAACUUUGGAAGAAAGUUCGGUUCGGAAGUCCCGACAGCAAAGCGAGGUAAAAUGAGUGAAAAUGAAGUUUAAACUGAUUUAAAAUUAAAUUGAAAA